UAAAGUGUCAAUGUGUGGCGUGGUGUAUC
rnacentral:sRNA from 1 species